CAGAGCCUUCCAACUCCUGGACCUGAUUGGUCUUCUGCAGCAUCUGCCUCUCCCAUCUGGACACUUCUUCCUUAGCAGCCUGAAGUUCUUCUGCCUUGGCUUCCUUCUUCCGGGAAAUUAUAGAUGCCUGCACGGUCAUUAAAAAUGCAUAUGGACAAGUAAGCUCACUGAAGUAUUCAGCAACAGGUCAAAAGAACAACAGCACAACGCCUGAGUCUGCUUCUCAACAAAGAAACAGAUUCUUACACGAUGCUCCAGCUGAAUCAGAUGCAAAAUUGAACAUGCAGCAUUGGUACAGAAAGCCACAAACCCUACAUAUGGCCUGUACACAUCAAGAUAUUGGAUUCUGUGUUGUGAAUUACAUUCUUCUGAAACUUUGGAAGUUAAGAACUAGACUUUGGCUGCUCAUGCCCAUGCAAGAUGAGGGGCAGCAAAGCACGUCACAGCCACGUUGACUUGCUCAGAGUUUCUUCAAAGCUUCUAUCCCUUGGAGGUUCUCUGGCAGGAGCAGUGGAGCAAGCACCCUGCAGCUGGUCCUACUCAAGAUUGCAUAGCUCAUUGUUUCAUGUGAAUUACUUCAUCUACAGACAGAAAUUAUCUCAGGGUGAGUCCUUUAUCUUAAUUUUAAGAUCUUAAUUUGGCCUAGCUCAUGUAUAGAUUCAUAAUUUCCUGGAAAUUCUCCCUUAAAAUAAAACUUUACUCUAAGCUGGCACCUAAAAAAGUCCUUAAAAUGAGCAGAAUUUAAAGUAUGCUUACUUUAAGGGUCUUUUACAUUGCUGGAACACUUA